rnacentral:rRNA from 1 species
AGUGAACGCUGGCGGUAGGCCUAACACAUGCAAGUCGAACGGCAACACAGUAAGAGCUUGCUCUUACGGGGUGCGAGUGGCGGACGGGUGAGGAAUACAUCGGAAUCUACUUUUUCGGGGAGGAUAACGUAGGGAAACUUACGCUAAUACCGCAUACGACCUACGGGUGAAAGGAGGGGAUCUUCGGAGCGUGCGCGAUUGAAUGAGCCGAUGUCGGGUUAGCUGGUUGGGGGGGUAAAGGCCCACCCAGGCGACGAUACGUAGCUGGACUGGGAGGCGGGUCGGCGACAUUGGAGCGGAGACACGGACAUGACUCCUACGGGAGGCAGCAGUGGGGAAUAUUGGGCAACGGGGGCAAGCAUGGUACAGUGAUACCGCGUGGGUGAAAAAGGCGUUCGGUUUGGAAAGACCGUUUGUUGGGAAAGAAAAGCUGCAGGUUAAGACGACGCUGUUCUGACGGUAAUGAAAGAAUAAGCACCGGCUAACUACGUG